rnacentral:tRNA from 1 species
AAAGAAUUAGUUAAAAUAUAACAUAAGUAUGUCAAAUUUAAAUUAUUAAUAAGUAAUAUUCUUUU